AGGGGUUUAGCUUAGCGGUAUAAGCGCCUGCCUGGCAAGCAUGAAGCCCUGAGUUCAAUCCCAGGUACACAUA
rnacentral:tRNA from 1 species